rnacentral:snoRNA from 1 species
AAUAAAUGAUGACAAACUGUUUCGGUCCCAAAUGAUGUUACUGAUUACUUAUGAGAUCAGCUGAUUUU